rfam:Camelus ferus unplaced genomic scaffold scaffold995, whole genome shotgun sequence.
GAAGGUAUAGCUCAAGUGGUAGAGCGCAUGCUUAGCAUGCAGAAGGUCCUGGUUUCAAUCCCCAGUACUGCCU